rnacentral:rRNA from 1 species
CAGCCGCGCGGUAAUACAGAGGGUGCAAGCGUUAAUCGGAAUUACUGGGCGUAAAGCGCGCGUAGGUGGUUUGUUAAGUUGGAUGUGAAAUCCCAGGGCUCAACCUGGGAACUGCAUCCAAAACUGGCAAGCUAGAGUAUGGUAGAGGGUGGUGGAAUUUCCUGUGUAGCGGUGAAAUGCGUAGAUAUAGGAAGGAACACCUGUGGCGAAAGCGGCUCGCUGGACCAUAACUGACGCUGAUGCACGAAAGCUAGGGGAGCAAACAGGAUUAGAUACCCCAGUAGUCCCUGUCUCUUAUACA